UGGUGUUACGGAUCUAGUGGU
rnacentral:siRNA from 1 species